rfam:Aspergillus cristatus strain GZAAS20.1005 Scaffold_Scf_4, whole genome shotgun sequence.
GGGGUGAUGGCGUAGUUGGGAGCGCGUUCGACUGAAGAGUACCUAUCAAAGGUAUUAUCCGACCAUCGGAAGGUCGCUGGUUCGAUCCCGGCUCACCCCA